UACGGAGGAUCCAAGCGUUAUCCGGAUUUAUUGGGUUUAAAGGGUGCGUAGGCGGAUUAGUAAGUCAGUGGUGAAAGCCUGCAGCUUAACUGUAGAAUUGCCAUUGAUACUGCUAGUCUUGAAUAUAGUUGAGGUGGGCGGAAUAUGACAUGCAGCGGUGAAAUGCUUAGAUAUGUCAUAGAACACCAAUUGCGAAGGCAGCUCGCUAAGCUAUUAUUGACGCUGAGGCACGAAAGCGUGGGGAGCAAACAGG
rnacentral:rRNA from 1 species